AGUAACCAGCGGAAGUAACAAUGCAACAAAAGAUACGUCUAGCAGAUAACUAGUUUUAAAGUAAUUAGAUCUCUAAGAAUUACAAAAAAAUGAUUUUAACCCAAAAAUAAAUACUCAAUCAAAACAAUCAAGAGCACGUAACCGUAAUUCUAGCACAAACAAUGGUUGCCAAGCAAUGACAACCCCCAACCUAUUGUCACCCCACACGGUGACGCGCUAAUGCUGAAAAUUAACGGUUUAAGCCAAUUUACCAGAGCAGACGUGUCUGAAUUCGUAUAAUCGAGAUAAAUGCGAAUCUACUACUUUAGGGCUGCAAUUUUGGCCUAAAGUAAUUCAGUAGAUAUAUGGCAGUUUCAAUCGUCGAUCCAGCAGGGGCAAAAUUGUCCAACUUUUUCUGUGUAACUUGAAACAGAAAAUGAACAGUGUCAGUGCGUUCAGGGGAUUGAAAUGAGCAAACUACCCAAAGGAAGUUUGUCGGAAAAUGUCGCCACGCGUCGCUGCCACCACGCGCUCCAUUGGAAGAAGUGCCUUUGCCUACUGGUUCCGAGUAUGGGGUCGGUUUCACCGAAAAGUUUCUGGUUUGGCCAAAAUUCGCGAUUAUAGGUUUGGUUUCCUUAUAAAAAUGCGAACCCGCUAGCGUUUUUGGGUGGAUUUCUGGCCGAAAAAGGUGACCCACGCUCUGAUACCAGUUGUAGGGCCAAGUUUUAGCAAAUACCAAGUAAACCAGGCUUAGUUUCACCAAAUAGAUCGACACCACCAACGGGUUGAGACAACGCCCAAAACCACCACCUAUAUUCCCACCUCCGAUUGCUACAAUAUACUCACAAAGAGUUGGACAAGAUGAAAAACAAUAAUAUGCCCACAAGAAAUCUAGUUGUUUAUCCACUUAGAAGAUGAUCCAAUCAAAAGCAUGUCGUCCACAUAGAGCAACAAAAACAGAUAAUUAUUAGCAAUAAAGUCAGUCAUGCAGAUUUUGGUGAGACUUUUCCUUGUGUUUACUGCAAGUAUCCUUCCACAAAGGCUGUCCCUAGGUAGUGCUCACUAGAUACCUUUUCGAUGCGUACCACUUGCAGAGAUGCCGUGUUAAACUCCACACAAUUCUUCCAUUUCAAUCUUUCUUCUUAAUAUUAAUAAACUCAUCUCCAUUAUCAUAGGGCAAAUGCUAAUGUACAGU
rnacentral:lncRNA from 1 species